AACGAACGCUGGCGGCAGGCCUCAUACAUGCAAGUCGAGCGAUUAAGACUCCUUCGGGAGUGUAUAAAGCGGCGAACGGGUGAGUAACAGGUGGAUGAUCUACCUUCCGGUGGGGGGAUAACGGCUGGAAACGGCCGCUAAUACCGCAUUCGGUUAAUACGCUGUGGCGUAUUAAAGAAAGGCGCCUCAAAGCGCCGCCGGGAGAUGAGUCCGCCCCCCAUUAGCUAGUUGGUGAGAUAACAGCUCACCAAGGCAACGAUGGGUAGCCGAACUGAGAGGUUGAUCGGCCACACUGGAACUGAGACACGGUCCAGACACCUACGGGUGGCAGCAGUAGGGAAUAUUGGGCAAUGGGCGAAAGCCUGACCCAGCCAUGCCGCGUGAGUGAUGAAGGUCCUAGAGAUUAGUAAAACUCUUUUCUGAGGAAAGAAUGAAUAGGGAAGGAAAUGUCCUUAUUUUGUACGGUACCUCAGGAAUAAGGAACGGACUAACUCCGUGCCAGCAGCCGCGGUAACACG
rnacentral:rRNA from 1 species